UACGUACUGGGCGAACGUUAUUCGGAAUCACUGGGCUUAAAGGGUGCGUAGGCGGCCUUCCAGGUCCGGUGUGAAAUCUCACGGCUCAACCGUGAAAUGGCGCUGGAAACCGGAAGGCUUGAGUGUGCUAGGGGUGUGUGGAACUUCCAGUGGAGCGGUGAAAUGUGUUGAUAUUGGAAGGAACGCCGGUGGCGAAAGCGACACACUGGGGCACAACUGACGCUGAGGCACGAAAGCUAGGGUAGCGAAC
rnacentral:rRNA from 2 species